rnacentral:rRNA from 1 species
AGAGUUUGAUCCUGGCUCAGAACGAACGCUGGCGGCAUGCCUAACACAUGCAAGUCGAACGAACCCUUCGGGGUUAGUGGCGCACGGGUGCGUAACGCGUGGGAACCUGCCUUUAGGUUCGGAAUAAUUCGAAGAAAUUUGAGCUAAUACCGGAUAAUGUCUUCGGACCAAAGAUUUAUCGCCUUUAGAUGGGCCCGCGUUAGAUUAGAUAGUUGGUGGGGUAACGGCCUACCAAGUCGACGAUCUAUAGCUGGUCUGAGAGGAUGAUCAGCCACACUGGGACUGAGACACGGCCCAGACUCCUACGGGAGGCAGCAGUGGGGAAUAUUGGACAAUGGGCGAAAGCCUGAUCCAGCAAUGCCGCGUGAGUGAUGAAGGCCUUAGGGUUGUAAAGCUCUUUUACCCGGGAUGAUAAUGACAGUACCGGGAGAAUAAGCUCCGGCUAACUCCGUGCCAGCAGCCGCGGUAAUACGGAGGGAGCUAGCGUUGUUCGGAAUUACUGGGCGUAAAGCGCGCGUAGGCGGCUAUUUAAGUCAGGGGUGAAAUCCCGGGGCUCAACCCCGGAACUGCCCUUGAAACUGGAUGGCUAGAAUCCUGGAGAGGCGAGUGGAAUUCCGAGUGUAGAGGUGAAAUUCGUAGAUAUUC